GCAGUUUUAAUCAAGACCUAUUGAGAAAUUUGGAUCAGUGUCCGUAUCCAAACAACUGAGCACUUUACCCCUCCCCUAACCCAAACUUAUUAUCAGUUGACUGUUGUUUGGUUAAAGAAGGGGUAGGAGUGCAGUUGUCCCAGAAAUUUUACCUCACUAUUUUUAGACAUUUGUGAUGAAUCUCUUUCGUGACGGAAAUAUCUCGUUUAUCUUUGUAUUUCACUGCACAAAGCAAGAUAAAACUUGUGGUUUUAAGAUUCAAUCUGCCCUCAGAAUAGAAGAUAGACAAGAUACAAUGCAGACAUCUCUAAAAAAAAAUAUGACCAAAGAAGACUGACCCUAAUGUCAACUAGGAGAUUCAUGUUGUGUGGCGUGACAAAGUGGCAGCUAUGAAGUAUAGUAAUUUGAUUCUAGUAUUACCUUGAUAUUGUUACAAGUGAUGCAGCUUUGCACACUGCUUUAGGAUUUUAUUUACACUGCACUUAAAUAUUAAACUGAUUUCAAAUGAUGUUUUCCAUGAAAAUGAUGUUCUCAGAACUUUUCAAACCCUUCCUAAAUAAUUAAAAAGUCUCUGCCUGAUGUCUCCCUAAGAAACCUGGGUGCUGAUGUGUCAUCUUAAACUCAGAUGAUUAUUGGGAUAUUUGCACCUGGUUGGUUGAUGUUUAAAUGGUAUCUCACUAGAAUAGUCUCCUAAUGUGACUUGGAUUGUGUUCAGAAUCCCUAAGAUUGAAUCUGACUGUUAUUUUUAUGACCAUGAGAAUUCCCUUGAGGGCAUUUUUAUGAUAAUGAACUUGGAAAAUUCUCCAAAAAUAUCAAAGAUACAAUUUUAGGUUUACAAUUAAGUGUCCUCAAGUAACAGCUCAUCUGAAGCUUUGUCAUGAUUUUCUGGCAAUUCUUGUUUCAUUUGAUCAGUCUCAGUUCUGUUCAGGAAGGGGAGGAUGAUGUAGUUAUUGAGGAGAUCAAGGAUAAAGUUGAUGAUGGAGACAUUGAAGAGCUGGAUGAAGCUGUGGGAGGAAUCAAACUUCAGCAGGAUAAUGGUGAUAAUGCUUUGCAAGGCCUGGCAAAUGAUGACAAUGAUAACCAAGAUAAUGUAGGUUUAACCGUAUGUUAAGAGUAAAAAAAAAACCUGAUUUCAUCAUUAAAUUCAUAUUAACUAUUAUUCCUUUUAAUCCCCAUGGAAAGUGACAGUGACAAACAAUAUCUAAGGCAAGAAAUGGAUAACAGCAUUUCAGAGGAAUGACCAAAUGCAAGUGUAAAUACAUUAAACAAUCAUGUAAAGUGUGAACUCUUUUUACUCUUAAAGAUGAAACUAAAACUUAAAAUCAAGUAAAAGUCAGUAAGAAAUUAGGGUAACCUAUACUUUUGUCUUGAUAUGGUGAUGAGGGCCCUUUUUUUCAGAUUCUUUACUUGAUCAUACAUGAAAACAUCAGGGACUGCAACAGAUUGGGCCAAGAAAUGGGAACACAGCAAUGUUGUCCAAAUUCUUGAACCAUCUUUGCGAGUACGACAAUUAAAAGUAUGAUUCUGAUUAGUUUGCUUCACAAGCUAUUGUGUACCCCAGGUGUUGAAUUUCCCUGCAUUUAUUCAUCUAGCUUGUUGAUAGUUCAACUGAAAAUGGAUUUAGAGAGUAUAAUAAGCUUGUAGAGGGUUGAUGAGAUUUGGGAAAGGUGUUGGUAUCAUGUCAUGUUAUAACCCUAGUCUACUUCUAAGGGUGACUAGAAUCCAAUUUCUCCUCACAAUAUCAUUCCUGAAACAUCACACAUUAGACUUAUGAGAAUAAAUGAAAUGAUCACCAACUCAAGAAGCUCUUGACUGUUAAACAAGUUCUCCUUGCAGCACCUUGGGAAAUCUACACUUAGAGAACACUAUCAUGGAAAAUAUGUAUACUGGCAUUGGGGUGGAAAGGCAUUAUGAACUCUGCAGCUUUAACCUUUCUCCAAGUAAAUUUAAGAGUGAAGGCAGUCUUCACUGAAGCAUUUGCCAAUGUCUUGAGGGAAAUUUUUAUGUUUAUCUUUUUAGGUCAUCACCCAAAGUUCCAUUUGGAAGAAGAGAAGUAGUGUUAGUUGGAGCUUCAAUUGUAUUACUGUUGUUUUUGUUUUGUAGGAAUUAUGUCUUCACACAAAACUUUUAGCAUCACCAAACACGUCAAUAAGUGAUUUCUUGUCCAAAGCUCCCGUGGCUCCUCCGCUUUUGGUUCUUCGAAAUGCUGUUGCCCUUCUUAAGACUAUAGACGCUUUGGACCAGUGGGAAGACCUGACUGACCUUGGUAAAUGAAUUGCAUUAUUUGACAGAACUUCUUGAAAGGAGAACUUAAAGUAAAAACACGCAAACUGCCUGAAGCGCGGGCAACGCGCGUGACCAAGUCACUUGAUUUUAGCUUGCAUUUGAUUGGUUGAGAGAUUGACUACUCAAUGACCCCAGUGAAGACAUAGCAAUGUCGGCUUGCUUUCCACUAAAAUAAAAAUUUCACUAGCUAGUAAUCCUACGUUUACAUGUUCGUUUAAAAGUAGUUUUCUUUUCUCCUUCAUCUACCGCCUGGCUUUGUGGAGAGAUUACAGCUCUGUCAGGUGUUCGAAAAUAGACAAUACUUACCAAGCCCUUGUUCUUUAGUGCCUUCCUC